GAUUAACGCUGGCGGCGUGCAUAACACAUGCAAGUCGAACGAUGAAACUUUUUUGAUUUCUUCGGAAUGAAAAAAAGUGGAUUAGUGGCGGACGGGUGAGUAACGCGUGAGUAACCUGCCUUAGAGAAGGGGAUAGCCUUUGGAAACGAAGAAUAAUACCCUAUGAAACCAUAACCUCGCAUGAGGCCUUGGUCAAAGAUUUAUCGCUCUAAGAUGGACUUGCGUCUGAUUAGUUAGUUGGUGGGGUAACGGCCCACCAAGACAGCGAUCAGUAGCCGGCUUGAGAGAGUGUACGGCCACAUUGGGACUGAGACACGGCCCAGACUCCUACGGGAGGCAGCAGUGGGGAAUUUUGCACAAUGGGGGGAACCCUGAUGCAGCGACGCCGCGUGAUUUAGAAGGCCUUCGGGUUGUAAAAAUCUUUUCUAUGGGAAGAAAAUGACAGUACCAUAGGAAUAAGGACCGGCUAAUUACGUGCCAGCAGCCGCGGUAAUACGUAAGGUCCGAGCGUUGUCCGGAAUCAUUGGGCGUAAAGGGUACGUAGGCGGGUAAGCAAGUUAGAAGUGAAAUCCUAUAGCUCAACUAUAGUAAGCUUUUAAAACUGCUCAUCUUGAGGUAUGGAAGGGAAAGUGGAAUUCCUAGUGUAGCGGUGAAAUGCGCAGAUAUUAGGAGGAAUACCGGUGGCGAAGGCGACUUUCUGGCCAUAACCCUGACGCUGAGGUACGAAAGCGUGGGUAGCAAACAGGAUUAGAUACCCUGGUAGUCCAAGGGCGAAUUCCACAGUGGAUAUCAAGCUUAUCGAUACCGUCGACGUCGAGGGGGGGCCCGGGUACCCAGCUUUUAGAUCACUUUAGUGAGGGUUA
rnacentral:rRNA from 1 species